UCUUAGGAAGAUUCCACGAGACAUGUGUACAGCUUAAUUCAUUCGAUAUUGCAGCAGACUUGAAUCUUGAUCCAUGGUUUCUUUUUAAUCCAUGGCUUCAUUAAUUUCCUCUGAACUUCCUGCAUUGACAGACGACGUCGUUUCCAUCAUCUCUCAUCUCAAUCACUUUAUAUAUAUAUAUAUAUAUAUAUAUAUUGAUAAACAAGGGAAUAUAAGCAAUUAGCAAAUAAUCAUAAUAAUAUCAAGAUAUGAGGCAGCUAUUAUGGAUGGUCUUACGCUUCUUAUUUGUUAUUCUUAUUCUGUCUUCUCAACAUCUCUCCUUUGCCGCCCGCCCCCGCUCCUGUAGAAUAAAUGAUGGUGAAGAACGAGGUGUUCUGGAUUGUACCCCAAAACGAGCCCUUCCAUCCCCAUCAGGAGGUGUGCCUAGACAUCAUUAACAAGAGACACUACAAGAAAUAAUAGUUUUGAAGACUAUUAUUGAUCGAGAUGUUGUGAAAUUUUAUAAUAUCUCGACAAAUUAUAUAUGGUAACAUUGGUUGUGCCUAUUUCGUUAUUGUGGGAAUAUUGUAUUUUACUAUUUUCAUCACAUGCGUACUGUGUAAUGUAUUGCUAUGCAAACUCUUCUUGAAUAACUAUUUUCACAUUUAUAUUCUUCUCAGUAAAUUUUUGUCAUUUUGUUUCUUGUUCAA